GAAGGCCCAGACAGCCAGGAUGUUGGCUUAGAAGCAGCCAUCAUUUAAAGAAAGCGUAAUAGCUCACUGGUCGAGUCGGCCUGCGCGGAAGAUGUAACGGGGCUAAACCAUGCACCGAAGCUGCGGCAGCGAACGUAUCACCCAAGACAACUUUACGGAGUUGACGAUUGACGGAGCGAAGCGACGUCAAAGCGUUCAUUAAAGUCGAGUUGGCUUAGGGAUACGUUCGUUGGGUAGGGGAGCGUUCUGUAAGCCUGUGAAGGUGUGUCGUGAGGCAUGCUGGAGGUAUCAGAAGUGCGAAUGCUGACAUAAGUAACGAUAAAGCGGGUGAAAAGCCCGCUCGCCGGAAGACCAAGGGUUCCUGUCCAACGUUAAUCGGGGCAGGGUGAGUCGACCCCUAAGGCGAGGCCGAAAGGCGUAGUCGAUGGGAAACGGGUUAAUAUUCCCGUACUUGGUGUUACUGCGAAGGGGGGACGGAGAAGGCUAUGUUGGCCGGGCGACGGUUGUCCCGGUUUAAGCGUGUAGGUGUGUGUUCCAGGUAAAUCCGGUUCACUUUAACACUGAGGCGUGACGACGAGGCACUACGGUGCUGAAGCAACAAAUGCCCUGCUUCCAGGAAAAGCCUCUAAGCAUCAGGUAACAUCAAAUCGUACCCCAAACCGACACAGGUGGUCAGGUAGAGAAUACCAAGGCGCUUGAGAGAACUCGGGUGAAGGAACUAGGCAAAAUGGUGCCGUAACUUCGGGAGAAGGCACGCUGACACGUAGGUGAAGUGAUUUACUCAUGGAGCUGAA
rnacentral:rRNA from 1 species